rnacentral:piRNA from 1 species
UCGUCAUCGUUGCUUGGGUCUUGUUUAGG